rnacentral:ncRNA from 5 species
CAAAGUGCUCACAGUGCAGGUAGA